rnacentral:rRNA from 1 species
GCGAGCGUUGUCCGGAAUCAUUGGGCGUAAAGGGCGCGUAGGUGGCCCGGUCAGUCUUUGGUGAAAGCGCGGGGCUCAACCUGGGAAUGGCGAUGGAUACUGGCGGGCUAGAGUGCGGUAGAGGAGAGUGGAAUUCCCGGUGUAGCAGUGAAAUGCGUAGAGAUCGGGAGGAACAUCAGUUGCGAAGGCGGCUCUCUGGACCAGCACUGACACUGAGGCACGAAAGCGUGGGGAGCAAACAGG